CACGAAUGGCGUAACGAUGGCCACACUGUCUCCACCCGAGACUCAGUGAAGUUGAAAUUGCUGUGAAGAUGCAGUGUACCUGCGGCAAGACGGAAAGACCCCGUGAACCUUUACUGUAGCUUGACACUGAUAUUCGGGCAAAUUUGUGUAGGAUAGGUGGGAGACUUUGAAGCGGAGGCGCUAGCUUUCGUGGAGUCGUCCUUGAAAUACCACCCUGGUUUAUUUGGAUAUCUAACCUAGGCCCGUUAUCCGGGUCGGGGACACUGUCUGGUGGGCAGUUUGACUGGGGCGGUCGCCUAACAAAAAGUAACGGAGGCGCGCAAAGGUUCUCUCAGCCUGAUUGGAAACCAGGCGACGAGUGCAAUGGCAUAAGAAAGCUUAACUGCGAGACCGACGGGUCGAGCAGAUGGGAAACCAGGUCAUAGUGAUCCGGUGGCUCCGUGUGGAAGGGCCAUCGCUUAACGGAUAAAAGGUACUCCGGGGAUAACAGGCUGAUCACGCCCAAGAGUUCAUAUCGACGGCGUGGUUUGGCACCUCGAUGUCGACUCAUCGCAUCCUGGGGCUGGAGCAGGUCCCAAGGGUAUGGCUGUUCGCCAUUUAAAGCGGUACGUGAGUUGGGUUCAGAACGUCGUGAGACAGUUCGGUCCCUAUCUGCCGUAGGCGUAGGAGAUUUGAGGGAAGCUGACCUUAGUACGAGAGGACCGGGUUGGACAAACCUCUUGUGAACCGGUUGUCACGCCAGUGGCACAGCCGGGUAGCUAUGUUUGGACGGGAUAACCGCUGAAAGCAUCUAAGCGGGAAGCCUCUCCCAAGAUGAGAUCUCCCGAGUGAAAAACUCCUAAAGACCCCUUGUAGACUACGAGGUGAUAGGCUAGAAGUGGAAGCGCAGUAAUGCGUGAAGCUGACUAGUACUAAUAGGUCGUGAGGUUUAGUAUC
rnacentral:rRNA from 1 species